AUUGAACGCUGGCGGCAUGCCUCACACAUGCAAGUCGAACGGUAACAGGCCGCAAGGUGCUGACGAGUGGCGAACGGGUGAGUAAUACAUCGGAACGUGCCCGAGAGUGGGGGAUAACGGAGCGAAAGCUUUGCUAAUACCGCAUACGAUCUACGGAUGAAAGCAGGGGACCGCAAGGCCUUGCGCUCAUGGAGCGGCCGAUGGCAGAUUAGGUAGUUGGUGGGAUAAAAGCUUACCAAGCCGACGAUCUGUAGCUGGUCUGAGAGGACGACCAGCCACACUGGGACUGAGACACGGCCCAGACUCCUACGGGAGGCAGCAGUGGGGAAUUUUGGACAAUGGGCGAAAGCCUGAUCCAGCCAUGCCGCGUGCAGGAUGAAGGCCUUCGGGUUGUAAACUGCUUUUGUACGGAACGAAAGACUCUGGUUAAUACCUGGGUCCAUGACGGUACCGUAAGAAUAAGCACCGGCUAAC
rnacentral:rRNA from 1 species